UGUUUUGAUUGCAUAGCCCUUUGUUUCUGGGAUAAUAUUUAUUUUUAGCUCCCAUCUUCAGUGUUCAGAGUUUUUAUGGAUUUAGCUUAUCAGUGAAGUGAUGCUCAAAUGACUGAUCCCAGAACUUUUGUGAAAAAUAUUCAUAGUAUCACCCAUGGUUUAUGAUUCAAUAAGGAGACAUAUGAAGUAUUCUUUUCCCUAGUGAUCUCAAGUGACACACACUAAAGACAGUGAGCUCUUGAUGUGCUGACAUUUGUUCCUGGAAAAGAAGAAAAAAAAAAAGAAAAAAAACAAUAGCAUAUUAUAAAAUUUCAGCCUUCAGAUGCUAAAAAAAGGAGGAAAUGGAAGAAAAGAACUGCCUCGAGUCAGAAAUCAGCAAGACAAUAUGUAGUGCUUCUGUAGCUUCAAAGCAGGCUGACUCAGAAGCUAAUGUUUUGGUAGAAAAGGUCAAGAAGAAAAUGGUUUAUGAUUCUCAGUGAUCUUUAUAUUAAGUGACUCUUAGGUCUCCAAUUACAGAGCUGCUCUUCGAUGGAAAAAAAAAUCAACCACUCUGUUAACAGCAGAAAAUAGUGCAAGUGAGCACAGCCUACAGUUGCAGGGUGUGAGGAGGGGGGGACAGAAGGAAUAAAAUGGAUGAAAAGUAGUGAAGUUUUUUGUGGAGAGUGCCUCAAUCCAGAUGAAAAAUAGAGCAGAGGAUGCUGAUAGAUAACAUAAUAAGAGGAACAAAAUUUGUCAAUAAGUAACUGCAUGAAUAAUAGAGAGAUUGACACAACCAUAGCAUUUCCUUUUUUUCUGUGAUCCCUUUUGGUUCUGUCUUUCAUCUUUAAAGGAGCCGAGAAGGGGAUUCUCACUUAAGCAAAUGAGAGCCCCAACAAGCACCUCCCAAUAACAAUCAGUUACGAGGGCCUGCACUUCAGGUGGGUGCUCCAAGGGAGCCCAGGGCUUUCUGUAAAGCUGCUGCCCAACCUCUUUUAAAAAAUGGUCUCUUGUUCUCUGUGCUUUGAAGCUGGAGAAGCCUUGCAAAUACUUAUAUUGUUAAAGGUUCACCCCUGCAAUGGGAGAAAAAAGUCACUCUAUCUUCCACGGUUUUGUUGUGCAACAGGUAGAGGGAACCCAAACAGAAGCUGCAAAGCUCUCUGGCAAAAGCUUUCCUUAUUUGACACUGCUUCUUCAUGUUAAGUAGUUGCUAAUUACACUUGAAAAGGCUUGUACUUGAAAUUUUUCUUAGGAAACCUCAAGUAGAAGCAUGAAAAGCAUUUUUCAUGUGCACACUGAGAAGCUUGAUGUUCAAUUGAUAACCAGUAGCAGUAGGAACCUACUUUCCAUAAAAAAGUCUUAAAAAUUCUUUCAUCCAAAGAGCAUUCUAAAAAUAAGCAUUUUCUGUACUUUGAGGAAAUGAAGUGGGGAUUUGUUUUUGUUUGUAUCAAAUAAAUGGAUUUUGAUCCCUGGCAGCUGUUUUUUUCUUUAACAAAAAUUCAAACAGUUUCGUAACAUUAUCGUUUUGGCAAAGUAACAAUAUUCCAAACACUCUUUUUCUUCCCUGUGAGCCAAGACAAGUUAGUAUAUAUGGUCAUUUCAAAACAUCUGGUUUUAAACCACUCAUUUUUAAUUCAUUUUUACAGAAAUUGUUGUGUUAUUUGUUGCCUAUAUUAUUUCUUCUCUUUAGGUCAAAAAGAAAUAACCAGCCAAUAACCUCUUCCAUUCUGUAUUUGAAACUCAUUUAAAAAAAAAAAAAAUCCAUCAAAUGCACUUUUAUCUAAAUAACAUACUUAAAACCUGAACUCUGAAUAGAAAUUAAAGGCUAUGGGGUAAUUUUUUCCCAUUUUUUUUUUGCGAAUUAUAACAGUUGUCUUCCUACUUUAUAGCUGUCUUUUAUCUUCCAGCAGUGACACCCACCAUCUGACUUAUGAUCUCUCUACAGGAAGUCAUUGAGUGACACAAUAGAGUUAAUGAAUUGGUCUUUCACCUCCAAAACCCUGAUCUAAAUGCUAGCCUCAGAUAAUGAGCAUGAUGGAGUUCAGUAAUGUCAGCAGAGUAUUAACUUCUGUUUAAAGGAAGAAUGAGUACUGGCAGGAAAAUGGAUUUUAAGAGAGAUUUGGAGCAAUUGCACCUGCAUGCAUUAUGGCAACUCUAGCCUUCCUUCAUUAGAGUCAUAUUCACAUUAUCUCUUUGCCAUUUGAAUAGAAUUUGGCAGAGGUUUAUCUGCAAAGCCUGUGAUUUAUCAGGGUUCUUUAUAGAUAUUUGAGUUCCAUACCACUCUGUCUAAGCACAACACCUUCAGUACCUGGUGGUUUAAUAUCAGGAUAGAUCUAUAUAGAGAAUCAGGAGCACUUUAACCGGUCAAGGGUAAUAUUUACUAUCAAACACAUACAUAAUGAUAACAUAUCUCAGGAAAAUACCCCGCUAUCAUCUAGUAAGCACUGGGUUAACUACAGAAGUCAGCAGGACUGACAGCAUGUUCAUCUUCCUAGUGCAGAAAGGCCAAAUACAGUUUAUUUCACUGAGGAUCUCUAUCCCUGCUGAAAGUGGAUUAUUGGGGUGCAUUGGAAGCCUUUAGCAUCUAUAGAAGUUACUCCCUCUUUCCUUUUUGGAGGGACUAGUAAGAGGUCAGCAACAUCUUUCCAAGCAAUUGAUCAUUCACAGAUAUACUACAAACUGUCAAAUCAUCUGACCAAAGGCAAAAAAAAAAAAAAAAUGUAUUCAAAUUUGUUGGUAUAUUUACACCAUCUUUCUAGCUCUCCCUCUUUGUUGUUUAGGACAUAUCCCACCUGCACUCUUAUGGGUCACUGUUUUCAGUCUAAAAUGGGAAGCAUCUCUCACACUUUUCUCAGGUUCUUGACAGGUUUGUAGCUGUGCUGGUCCAGUAAUGUUGUUACCGAUCUUAAGUCUACUUCAAAAAGUACAGUGUCUGGUCCAUGUGCCAAAAGAUCCAUGUGCCCAUAUCAAGUGCUCUCACUAACUUCCAAGCUUCCACAGAUUCUCCAAAACAAUGAGGAUGAUCUAGUUGUCUUGUCAGUUAAGAGAGUAUUUAAUCUGAAAAACAGCAGCCCAAAAUGAUAGAUUGCAGUCAGCUCGUUAUUCUCAAUCUGCACUUUUGAUAUCACUUCCAGACAUAGCACUGGUAAGAGCAGCUGGCUGGCAGUGGGCAAUAGGGAAGGCUGCCACUUUGUUCUUGGUUGGUUUGGGUUAGUUUUUUCUUUAACUCCACAGCCCUUGAUUCACUCCUAACUACCAUCCAUAAAUAAACAGCUUUAACGCAGCUUUGUCCUCCUCUUGCCCUCUCUCUUUCCCCUCCACUGCUGCCUGCAAUUCCCACCAAAAAGCUGGUUUCACAUGCGCAUAUCCAAGUUUAGCUGAACUUAGUCUAUGCCUGUCUCCAAUCAAAAGUUAAUUUUAAACUUAAGCAGAUGUUUGUCCCCAGUGUUUACAUAGCUGAUAUCUUUAGAAGACAAAUGUUCUCUUGGCUUUUGUUAUUCUAGAUUAAACAAGCCAAAUUCUCUUUGGGUGUGACUGACAGAGAGCAGGCAAUGGUGUUUGUGCUUAGCUGGUGCCAGGGGCCAGCUGAACCCGUGGCAGACCAGGACCAGAAGCCAGGCAGAUAUUUGUGUGUGAAUACCUGCUCAGUGAUGCAUUUGCAGCAUUUAGUCCUGCCAGUCAGGGCCUGUUUACACCAUCAGUGAUCAGCCCAGGUCUGAAGCCUAGUUCUGCACUGAUACAGGGAUAGGGCUUUCAGUCCUAGAUGGCUUUGCUUUGAUCAGAAUACGGGCAGAAAAAAUGCACCUGGAUGUGUGAAGCAGAACAUCCAUGUCUUCUUGGGCGCAUUCUCCAAUCCUACAGUUUGCCAAGAAGCUUUUCACAAACUUAUCUGUUAAACAGAUGAACUCUCUUCUGUCCAUGCACAAUUGUUUUUAGGUCCUAAGACCAUGUCUGAACCUGGUAAAGCUGAGCUGGUUCCUGACAGGAGUGAAGGUUUUAUUUGUGUGUUUGCCUUGGGCUGAGGCUCAGAGCUGUAGCACUUGGUGUAGUUGACCUGCCCCAGUGGUAUGACCCAGGACUUGCUCACAGACUGCAUGAACAGAGCACUCAUUGGGUUACUGAUGUGUCAAAAUGCUGAGCAGGUACCACUGAAAUGCUGAAUGUGACACAUAUCUCAAUGUCCUUUGCACCAGGGUCUUGGUAUCUUGCUUGGGACCCACAGACAUGUGAGCUUAAAGACCUGCAAACCUGUCAUGAGCACUGGAAAUGCUGCUUUAGAGUGCAUAUGUAUGGGGGCAAAGGAGGAACAUAAGGAAGCUUGGAAAGGAGUUAUCUUUUGCUUUUACUGUCUGCCUUUUCACUCCAUUUGUUCUGUGCUGCAGCUGAGAAGAAAACUGUUAGAUGUAUUACUGUAUACUGUAAUGGCACAUUUGGUCAGCUCCAUUAAGCUUUGGUGUAUUUCUAUA